AACGAACGCUGGCGGCAUGCCUAACACAUGCAAGUCGAACGAGACCUUCGGGUCUAGUGGCGCACGGGUGCGUAACACGUGGGAAUUUGCCUCGGGGUAUGGAAUAACUCAGGGAAACUUGAGCUAAUACCAUAUAAUGUCUUCGGACCAAAGAUUUAUCGCCCUGAGAUAAGCCCGCGUAGGAUUAGCUAGUUGGUGAGGUAAAGGCUCACCAAGGCGACGAUCCUUAGCUGGUCUGAGAGGAUGAUCAGCCAAAACCUGGGACUGAGACACGGCCCAGACUCCGUACGGGAGGCAGC
rnacentral:rRNA from 1 species